UACGUAGGGUGCGAGCGUUAAUCGGAAUUACUGGGCGUAAAGCGUGCGCAGGCGGUGAUGUAAGACAGUUGUGAAAUCCCCGGGCUUAACCUGGGAACUGCAUUUGUGACUGGCGGGCUAGAGUAUGGCAGAGGGGGGUGGAAUUCCGCGUGUAGCAGUGAAAUGCGUAGAGAUGCGGAGGAACACCGAUGGCGAAGGCAGCCCCCUGGGCUAACACUGACGCUCAGGCACGAAAGCGUGGGGAGCAAACAGG
rnacentral:rRNA from 1 species